AAAUUAAUAAACACAGAGGGGAGGCCUGCAGUAAAACCAGGCAGGAGCCGCGUCCUCUACCACAGGCAAGUUACUGCGCCUCUCUGCGCCUGUCCCCUUCUCCGUGAAACGGUAGAGUGGAACAUAGUCCGCGCAACAAGAUAUUAGGGAAGCCGAGUCGAGAUUCCAGGAUGAAGUCACUUUGUGACUUCCCUGCGCAAGGAAGAGACCGCUUACUUGCACCAGGAGGAUCCUCAGAGGGGGCUAAUGCCUGAACUGUUCUGGAAUUCUCCUGCCUGAAGCCCACCAAUGACUUCUCUGCUGUCCUCAGAACCAACCCAGAGCAGCCUGUAUCCUUAAACCAACCUCCUCUUCCGGGAGCCACUACCGCUCACCCCUCAGGCCUGGCCAGUCCUCUCUGCAGCAGCUGCCUCCUACCUUGAAUCCUUGCUUCUGCCUGCACCCUUGGCUCACAGGCAGCCAGGAAGAUCCUUUGAAAACACAACUGCGAUAAUGUCCCCACAAGCCAGUGGCUUCCCAUUGUAGUUGUGGGAAAACCCUAAAUCGUUAUAGCUCACCAAGCUCCAGACCUCAGGGUCCAGUUCCCCUCAACCUCCUCUCCUCCUGCCUGGUCACUCACCUGCUUUAACCACACAGGCCUCUUUGCCGUUCCCCUCGGAGCCCGUGUACCUGCCUUUUUCCUCCCCCCAAAUGUCUUUCUCCAGAUGCUUCUGUGGUGGAUGCCUUCCCUUCCAGGUCUCUGCCCAAAUACCACCUCCUUAGAGCUUCCCCGGACCCCCAGCUGCUGUGCCCUCAACUCUCUCUCACAUGUACACCCUAAUCCUCCUCUUCACCCCUUACCCACCUUAGUUUUUCUUCUAAGUGCUUAUUUCCACCCGAAAUUAUUUUACUUAUGAAGUGUACAAAUAAUUUAAAAAUGUUACAAUAUUGUCCAUCUCUCUAAAGCAUAAUCUCUAGAAGAGCAUGAAUAGUGAAGGAAAAGAAGAAAGGGUAAAGGAAUUAGGGGCAGAUCUGGCUGAGUGGAGGCAGGAAGGAGGGAGAGGUGAAACCUGGGCGCUAGGAUCUCUGGGGGAAUGGCGGGUCGAGCUCAGGGAGCCGGCACAAGGCCCUGUGGAAUGAGGCUGAGGGUGACUUUCGGAACAAAGUAUAUGGAGCUGUAAAUACCAGAAGGGGAGCCGUGGAACCCAGAAGCAGAAUUCAGUAUUGGCCCUAAAGCCUCUUCCAUCUCUCUGGAAGGCAAGUUAUAACUUCUGGAAAGGACAGUGAGGGUCGGAUCCUAUAGAUCGUAUUCCAGGCUUGGCCUGAGCUGCUCUCCUGACCAUCCUCUGAGCCGGGAGGGUGUGGACUCAAGAUUUGGGGCCAAGGAGGAACUCGCAGCGUCACGCCCUCUGGAAUGCUGUGGCUGCGAUUAACGCGCUCCAGAUUUGCACAGUUCCCGUCAGAACAUGAAACCAGAGGGAAAAAAAACCCAUGAGGCCCAGAUUGAUCAGCGCAGAACUUAGCAACAGCACAACAAGCUGUAGCCAGCCCACUUCUGCAGCGAGGGGCUUUCCGCCAGGCCUGGGGCUUGGGAACUCCGAGCGGGCCCUGCUGUCUCUGGCUGGUUUGCAGGGCCCAGAGGCCCACCCCAUUGGCCAUUGCGGUGGUGGGUCUGCGACUUGUGCUGGAACCACAGGGCAUCCCAGAGAUGGCCUACAAUCCCUAUGGGGAGCCUGAGAAAGGAAGGCUGGUGGGUGUCCCCACACUUGGCCACCUUGGGAACCCUGGUUCACUCUGCUGGUUGAUGGGCUCACCAGGCCCACACCUUUGCCAGGAGCUGACAAGAGCGUGGGGGGACUUCUGAGUUUCAGAAACAUCCAGAUUACCCCAGCAUUUCAUGGUGAGUCACAGCCUCCGGUCUUCACCAUGACAUCUGGACGGCAAGGAACUUGGCCAGCUCCUGACCCAGUUCCUCAGUGCCUCCUCCCUCCACCAGGCCAGCUGCACACUCCCUGGGCCAGCAUGAUCGUGUUAUAAAAUAUCUCAAGCAUAUGGAGGUUCAUAAAAUCGUACUGGGGACAAGCACCCCUCACUCCUGUUUAA